rfam:Parcubacteria bacterium GW2011_GWB1_42_9 TV50_C0017, whole genome shotgun sequence.
GGGCCUAUAGUUUCAAUGGUAAAACAUCGGACUCCAAAUCCGCCGUUCCCCGUUCGAGUCGGGGUGGGCCCG